CGUAGAUUAUAUAAAAUAUAAUUGUUGUUUUUCGCUUUUAGUGAAUUUUUUUUUGUUAGUAAAUUUAUGUUAAUUAUGCUUCAUAAGCGUUUUGUCUAUGGUUGCUAUAAUCGAGAUGGUCUAAUCAAAAUAUAAAGUUAUUUCAGUAUAAUUAGUAAUAUUGUUUAUUAUUCCUAUACCUUUUUCGACCUAAAAUUAUGUGUUCAAGAUUUCCUGAUGACGAUAAUUAGAAAAAAAAAUAUCGUUGGAUCUUGUUUAAAGAGAAAGUUCACUGCGAUUAAAUCAAGUAGACUCUUCAGUGUUUAUUUUAGAUCAUCAGAGUUUUGUUGAAGCUCCUAGAAAACGACUGUUAAAAAAUAAUGCUGGACCAAGUACUCCUACUAAGAAAGUAUUUUAGGAAAAAAAUUAAUCGGCGCUGUUCUCUUUCUCAGCGGUAACAGUAGAAUUGACCAUAGUUUAUAGUUAAUCAAGUAAUCUAUGCAUAACAUAAUUACCAAAUGUAAAUGCGAUUUUACUCUUAGUUACAUCUUUUAAUAAUCCAUCGUUGAACUACAGUCCGGUUAGUUAAAUUUUAGUAAUUGAUUCAAAAAUUGUAUCAGAAAGUAUAAUUGAUGAACCAUAUGAUUUGACUUUUAGACCUAGUAAUUUCAACAUUUGAAUAAUAAUUUUUUUUAUAAUUUCACAUUUAAUAUUAUAAUUAUGACAUAUUACUUAUAGGUGGUUAUAUUUAACCAAAUACUCCACAAUACACACCUUCACUGAAAAAGAAAUGUAAGGGAAAGAUAAUUGAAUCUCCAAUUAAAAGUAGCCUCAAGAAAAAGGUAAAAGUUUUACAACAGAAAGUUCCAAGACAAAAUUCUAAAAUAACUACACCGGAGGUAUUAUAUUAUAAAUGAUAAUUGGUAAUUAGAUUAAAAAUUAAUAGUUUUGCUCAGUCUAUUGUAAUAUAAUGUCUAUUGUUUUAAUCUAAUAUAUAGAUAAUAUGUGGCCUUUGUGAUUUUAUUUGACUAAAUGUGUAAACUGUU